GGGGAUGAUAUAGGAUUCGAUAAAGAGAAUCGUAUGGUCACUCGUGCUGUCUCGGGGCAGUCAGCCUCGUCAUCAAAUGACAAACAACAGAUGCAAAAACAUCUUCUCGCUUCGGUGGUCUUGCAACACUUCUUCGUGGAGCUUCUGCAAAAUUCACUCCAGCAACAACUCUCGCUGCCUAACCGCUCGAAAGUGUAGCCUUUCCUUAGGGAAUGAGUGCCGUAUGGCCUGCUACAAACUUCUUUGUUUCAAGCUUAUAGAGCAAAGACGUAUUAUAAGCCUCACUCCGUAGGAUUCCUCAUUGCGUAAGGAAGUGAGUAUACGAAAUGGGUUUAUUCUGGCUUUUUGUCAUUUUUCUAUCAGAAUAAGUAUCCAAAAAUGAAUCAUAGACAGGAAUACACGCUGAUAAUACCUCUUUACACGCGGGGGCGGUGCCCGCCAUCUCCACCA
rnacentral:tmRNA from 1 species